AACGUCUAGCGGGACCUAGAUAGCACUGUCGAGUCGGUUUCCAGUGCUAGUAGUUUUGUGCCAUUGGAGCAGGUGGCCGGAUCUUCUAAGAGUCCUCAUAGCUGCAGACGCCACGAGCCUUUGGUAGCCCCAGCUCAUCCCACCCUUCUCAGGGCAGCCCUAGUAGAGAGGUCAACUUAGCAGUCGUACAACAGGUUAGGACGAAGAGCUCUCCACUGGGUUGAAAAGCAAAAAAAAAAUCGAAAAAUUUGUAGAAGGUUGGUGAGCAGAUGAAUCACUCAGGUCACACAAAAGCGGAUCUGGGUUGAAUACCUCUUGAGUCACUGAUGAGCAAAUGAAAAAGUUAACAGUUUGUUGAUUCACGACAUAGGUCCCGUCAUCUGCACCAAAUGCCUUAUAAUCCCCGUUUCCUAGAAGACGCACAGCUCCAAGGUCAGUGCCGAGAUGGACAUACUACUUUCAGCCAAUUUCGAGUGGCACAUGGUGGAAAAUGAUUAUGUUAAGUACAUAGACUGGUUGUGGAGCGAGCGAUGUGAGAAGUGGAAGUACCGGCUGCAUAAAUAUUAUCAGACUUGUGCGUCACCUAAGGUAGCUCCUAAAGAUCCACCUGAGGAGUUUGUGGAGAGGAUGGGCUAGUGGAAUUGGCAGUGCACUCAUUUUCGGAGCAAAAAAAUUUAA